AAAAGAGCUGCAGACAUGAUUUUUGUGGGAAGGGAAAAAAAUAGCAUCCUAACCUAUUUAACACAUCGAAAACUGAGCAGACCUUGAUUGUUUAGAAAAGUUUUCAAAAGUAAUGCUUUAGAAACUACCAUUAGAGAUGAUUCCAAAUGGUCUGAAAAGGCAAAACGGAUAUUGUCUGUGAAUACAAAAUAAUAAUACAAUCACAUAAGAGCUGAAUCUGAACAAUAAACAAUCUGAGUUGAUGUGUUUCACCACUAUUCU